ACAAGCGGUGGAUGAUGUGGUUUAAUUCGAUGCAACGCGAAAACCUUACCCACCUUUGACAUGUACGGAAUCCUUUAGAGAUAGAGGAGUGCUCGAAAGAGAGCCGUAACACAGGUGCUGCAUGGCUGUCGUCAGCUCGUGUCGUGAGAUGUUGGGCUAAGUCCCGCAACGAGCGCAACCCUUGUCACUAGUUGCCAUCAUUUGGUUGGGCACUCUAGUGAGACUGCCGGUGACAAACCGGAGGAAGGUGGGGAUGACGUCAAGUCCUCAUGGCCCUUAUGGGUAGGGCUUCACACGUCAUACAAUGGUCGGUACAGAGGGUUGCCAAGCCGCGAGGGGGAGCUAAUCCCACAAAGCCGAUCGUAGUCCGGAUCGCAGUCUGCAACUCGACUGCGUGAAGUCGGAAUCGCUAGUAAUCGUGGAUCAGCAUGUCACGGUGAAUACGUUCCCGGGUCUU
rnacentral:rRNA from 1 species